rnacentral:rRNA from 1 species
UACAGAGGUCUCAAGCGUUGUUCGGAUUCAUUGGGCGUAAAGGGUGCGUAGGCGGCGCGGUAAGUCGGGUGUGAAAUCUCGGAGCUUAACUCCGAAACUGCAUUUGAUACUGCCGUGCUUGAGGACUGGAGAGGAGACUGGAAUUUACGGUGUAGCGGUGAAAUGCGUAGAUAUCGUAAGGAAGACCAGUGGCGAAGGCGGGUCUCUGGGCCGUAACUGACGCUGAGGAGCGAAAGCAUGGGGAGCGAACAGG